rnacentral:lncRNA from 1 species
GCCUUGAAUUCCGAUUUACAAAACAGUUCUUCUUCAAAUAUGUUUACGCGUGUAACAUUACACCUCAUAGUAAUCAGUACAAACACCAAACAAAAAACACAAUGUAGUGAACAGAUUGAUAAAACACAGUCCUUUUUGAAGGUUUCUCAGCAGACAACUGAAUAUUUAUUGUGUUUUAUGUAGAACACAACUAUUGUAAUCAUUACCUUUGAAGUUUAUUUUCGUCAUUGGAAUAUAGUAGUCCAUCCACGAUCCAAAUAUGAUGGACAAUGGAAUCAGAAUUUGAAUUGAUAUGGAAAGAAGAAAUAUAGGCAUUUGCUAUAUACAGGAAAAGAUAUAUUAAUAAUUAUUACUAGGC